AUUGAACGCUGGCGGCAGGCCUAACACAUGCAAGUCGAGCGAGCGGCGGACGGGUGAGUAAUGUAUGGGGACUGCCCGAUAGAGGGGGAUAACUACUGGAAACGGUAGCUAAUACCGCAUACUAUCGGAUAACCCAUAUGGGAUUAGCUAGUAGGUGGGGUAAUGGCUCACCUAGGCGACGAUCCCUAGCUGGUCUGAGAGGAUGAUCAGCCACACUGGAACUGAGACACGGCCCAGACUCCUACGGAGGCAGCAGUGGGGAAUAUUGGACAAUGGGGGAAAGCCUGAUGCAGCCAUGCCGCGUGUAUGAAGAAGGCCUUCGGGUUGUAAAGUACUUUUAGCGGGGAGGCGUUAUCUGCAGAAGAAGCACCGGCUAACUCCGUGCCAGCAGCCGCGGUAAUAC
rnacentral:rRNA from 1 species